AUCUCCAAACCGAGCUCUGCCCCCUCUUCUGAGAUAGAGCAUCUUGCAGCCCAGGUUUGCCUCGAAUGACUAUGCAGCCGAGGACAGUCUUGAACUCCUGACUCUCCUGCAUUCACCUUGCAGGGAUUGGAAUUGCAGUCCUAACGACUGUAAGCUUGUCUGCUCUUCACGCCCGCCUGCAAUGGGCAGCGACCAGCACAGCGUGGAAUGGAGGCCGUGACAGCGGAUGUGCAUUGCGAGGUCAAACAAGUCAUGACCCAGAAUGUUCGAAGGUUUACCUUUGCUUGUUUAUGAGACAAGGUCUCCCCCGUAGCCCAGAACAUUCACUCGGAGGCUUCUCCCAGUUUCGGAGGAUACGCUGCUGGCGACCAUCGCAUCGCGGCGGGAAGCUUGGCUGCAGGCAGAUCCCGACGUCUGCAGUGGCGCACAUGCGUGGUGUGUACGAGUUUGGCGGCCGGAGGCCAGCUCUGCCACAUGCUCUCUUCUUCCACCUUAUGGAUUUGGAAAUGGAUCCCAGUCGUCAGGCUCGGUGGCCAGAGUCUUUACCCACUCAGUCAUCUCACAACUGUUUUUUUUUUUUCUUUUAAUUUAUUUUAUGUGUAUGAGUGCUCUAUCUGCAUGUACUCCUGCACACCAGAAGAGGGCAUCAGAUCCCCGUAUAAAUGCUUGUGAGCCACCAUGUGGUUGCUGGGAAUUGAGCUCAGGACCUCUGGAAGAGCAGCCAGUGCUCCUAACCACUGAGCCAGCUCUCCGGCCCGUCCACGAAGAGAUUCUUUUUUUCUUUUUCUUUUUGUAAACAUUUUUUUUUAAUUUUAAUAAUUUAUUCAUUUUACAUCUUGGUUGUAGCCUCCUCCCUCCUCAAGAAGAAAUUCUUGAGAAAAAUAAAAAAAAGCUGUAAAUAAAUAUAACGAA